rnacentral:rRNA from 1 species
AGAGCGAACGCUGGCGGCAGGCCUAACACAUGCAAGUCGAGCGCCCGUAGCAAUACGGGAGCGGCAGACGGGAUAGUAACACGUGGGAACGCGCCCUUCGGUUCGGAAUAACUCAGGGAAACUUGAGCUAAUACCGAAUACGCCCUUACGGGGAAAGAUUUAUUGCCGAAGGAACGGCCCGCGUCCGAUUAGCUAGUUGGUGAGGUAAUGGCUCACCAAGGCUACGAUCGGUAGCUGGUCUGAGAGGAUGACCAGCAUCACUGGGACUGAGACACGGCCCAGACUCCUACGGGAGGCAGCAGUGGGGAAUAUUGGACAAUGGGCGCAAGCCUGAUCCAGCCAUGCCGCGUGGAUGAUGAAGGCCUUAGGGUUGUAAAGUCCUUUUAACGGGAGAUAAUGACGGUACCCGUAGAAUAAGCCCCGGCUAACUUCGUGCCAGCAGCCGC